rnacentral:rRNA from 1 species
GGGCCCACACAAGCGGUGGAGCAUGUGGUUUAAUUCGAUGAUACGCGAGGAACCUUACCAGGGCUUAAAUGUAGGUUGCAUGAUCUAGAGAUAGAUCUUUCUUCGGACUACCUACAAGGUGCUGCAUGGUUGUCGUCAGCUCGUGCCGUGAGGUGUCAGGUUAAGUCCUAUAACGAGCGCAACCCCUGUCGUUAGUUACCAGCAAGUAAUGUUGGGUACUCUGCGAGACUGCCGGUGCAAACCGCGAGGAAGGUGGGGAUGACGUCAAAUCAUCACGGCCCUUACGUCCUGGGCCACACACGUGCUACAAUGGCCGGUACAGAGAGCAGCCACUACGCGAGUAGGAGCGAAUCUUCAAAACCGGUCUCAGUUCGGAUCGCAGUCUGCAACUCGACUGCGUGAAGCUGGAAUCGCUAGUAAUCG